GACGAACGCUGGCGGCGUGCCUAAUACAUGCAAGUAGGACGCAGUUGCGAACGGGUGAGUAACGCAUCGGUAACUACCUAUUAGAGGGGGAUAACUAUUGGAAACUAUAGCUACUACCGCAUAUUAGACUAUGGAACUGAGUUGUAUUAGCUAGUAGGUAGGGUAAAGGCCCACCUAGGCAACGAGACAUAGCCGACCGGAGAGGGUGAUCGGCCACACUGGGACUGAGACACGGCCCAGACUCCUACGGGAGGCAGCAGUAGGGAAUCUUCGGCAAUGGGGGGAACCCUGACCGAGCAACGCCGCGUGAGUGAAGAAGGUUUUCGGAUCGUAAAGCUCUGUUGUUAAGGAAGCGGUACUUAACCAGAAAGGGACGGCUAACUACGUGCCAGCAGCCGCGGUAAUAC
rnacentral:rRNA from 1 species